rnacentral:rRNA from 1 species
AUGGUGAUCAGCCCCCAUUGCUCGGCAAUUAGUAUAAAACCGACGUGGAACUUGGCGCUGCUGCUCAUCCUGGUCAUGAUGAUGAUUCGAGUCCAUGGCCAGUCUUCUACCUCCGGGUUCAUAAGCAUCGAUUGCGGAAACAAUGGCACCUACAACGACAGCAUAACAGGACUACAGUACCAUUCUGACGAUGGAUUUGUCGAGGGUGGAUUGAGCCACAAGAUUUCAACGGAGUUCAUGGCUGAUGCGGCUAGUGAGCAAGCAAAAACCUUGAGAAGCUUCCCUGACGGUUCACGGAAUUGCUAUACGCUGCCAUCCAUCAUCGGCAAGAAGUAUCUGUUGAGGGCCUUGUUUAGUUACGGCGACUACGAUGGGUUGAACAGGACUUUGGACGGGUCGCCGUUUCUGUUUGGGCUCCAUAUUGGCGUCAAUUUCUGGGAUACGGUGAACUUGACAUAUUGGAAUCCAUCAAUCACAGCAUGGAAGGAAGUGCUCACCGUUGCUCCAGGCGACUCCAUGUCGGUCUGUCUGAUAAACUUCGGUACAGGGACUCCAUUCGUGUCUGUGUUGGAGCUGAGGCCACUGCUAGAUGCGAUGUACCCUUUUGUGAAUACUUCCGUAUCAGUUGGCUACUUUGGACGCAUCAGAUUUGAUGAAGUCGCUGAUUUUAUCACAAGAUAUCCAGUGGAUCCUUACGACCGGUUCUGGGAGGGCUGGUCUUCGUACCACAACACCUACCCCUGGAUCAACCUGAACACUAGCAGUCAAGUGGAGAUUCUCCCGGGCGACGACUACUUCAAUGUGCCGAUGGCCAUCUUCCAGAAGGCCACGACCCUAGACGCAAACUACUACUCCAUGUGGAUCGGCAUUGAAAAGGACAAUGUGGACUCUAAGAGCGUCCGCCUUCUGCCGAUCUUCCAUUUUGCUGAAAUCAAUGGUAGCAACCCAAACAGAAGGUUCGACAUCUAUAAUGCCGGCGAUUUGCUGCACCGAGGCUUCUCCCCGUAG